UACAGGGGGUGGAAGAGAAAUGUUAUGAGUCUUGACUUUAGGAUCUCUGAGGAGUGAAGUUCCUACCUCUGAGUUGGACAAUUUCCAUGCCAGAUGAAUGUGACUGCAAGAAAGACCUGAUCUUUGCUGGAAGCAAGCAUCCUCUUUUUCACACUCAGCUUCUUUAGAUGUCAGCUUGAACUGUGGGACACCUUUGAAAUAUCGGCGACUCUCAGUGAAAUUGCCGUCAAACUCAUAGAAAUUUCUGUUUAACAGGGGAAAAACCGCUUCUCAGGGGCACAUAGGCCCUGACCACCAGCGGCAUAACUCUCACCACAGUCUGUCUUGAAGAGGCCUCUGUUCAAGGUUCUGGAAAGUUAUAAGGAAGGUACCAGGGCUGCAGUGGCCAGGCAAGUGAGGAACCAAAAGGUCUGUUUUUUAUCACAAAUUAAAUUUGUUUUAAGCCUGUUG